rnacentral:rRNA from 1 species
GACGAACGCUGGCGGCGUGCCUAAUACAUGCAAGUCGAGCGAACCAAUAGGAGCUUGCUCCUGUUGGUUAGCGGCGGACGGGUGAGUAACACGCGGGCAACCUGCCUGUAAGACUGGGAUAACACCGGGAAACCGGUGCUAAUACCGGAUAAUCUUUUUCCUCUCAUGAGGAAAAACUGAAAGUCGGUUUCGGCUGACACUUACAGAUGGGCCCGCGGUGCAUUAGCUAGUUGGUGAGGUAACGGCUCACCAAGUCGACGAUGCGUAGCCGACCUGAGCGGGUGAUCGGCCACACUGGACUGAGACACGGCCCAGACUCCUACGGGAGGCAGCAGUAGGGAAUCUUCCACAAUGGACGAAAGUCUGAUGGAGCAACGCCGCGUGAGCGAUGAAGGCCGUCGGGUCGUAAAGCUCUGUUGUUAGGGAAGAACAAGUACCGGAGUAACUGCCGGUGCCUUGACGGUACCUAACCGGAAAGCCACGGCUAACUACGUGCCAGCCGCCGCAGUAA